AGAGUUUGAUCCUGGCUCAGGACGAACGCUGGCGGCGUGCCUAAUACAUGCAAGUCGAACGCACUGACGGAGAACUUGUUCUCUUGACGUGAGUGGCGCACGGGUGAGUAACACGUGGGAAACCUACCCUUCAGCGGGGGAUAACCAUCGGAAACGAUGACUAAUACCGCAUAGACGACAGAACCGCCUGGUUCAAUCGGGAAAGACGGCUUCGGCUGUCACUGAAGGAUGGUCCCGCGCUGCAUUAGCUAGUUGGUAAGGUAACGGCUUACCAAGGCGAUGAUGCAUAGCCGACCUGAGAGGGUGAUCGGCCACAUUGGGACUGAGACACGGCCCAAACUCCUACGGGAGGCAGCAGUAGGGAAUCUUCCGCAAUGGACGCAAGUCUGACGGAGCAACGCCGCGUGUGUGAAGAAGGUUUUCGGAUCGUAAAGCACUGUUAUUAGAGAAGAACAGCCGAUAGAGUAACUGUUAUCGGUUUGACGGUAUCUAACCAGAAAGUGACGGCUAACUACGUGCCAGCAGCCGCGGUAAUACGUAGGUCACAAGCGUUGUCCGGAUUUAUUGGGCGUAAAGGGAGCGCAGGCGGUUUGUUAAGUCUGAUGUGAAAGCCCACGGCUCAACCGUGGAACGGCAUUGGAAACUGGCAAACUUGAGUAUAGAAGAGGAAAGUGGAAUUCCAUGUGUAGCGGUGAAAUGCGUAGAUAUAUGGAGGAACACCAGUGGCGAAGGCGACUUUCUGGUCUAUAACUGACGCUGAGGCUCGAAAGCGUGGGGAGCGAACAGGAUUAGAUACCCUGGUAGUCCACGCCGUAAACGAUGAGUGUUAAGUGUUGGGGGGCUUCCACCCCUCAGUGCUGGCGUUAACGCAAUAAACACUCCGCCUGGGGAGUACGA
rnacentral:rRNA from 1 species